rnacentral:SRP_RNA from 1 species
GCUGGGCAUGGUGGCUCAUGCCUGUAAUCCCAGCAUUUUGGGAGGCUGAGGUGGGCGGAUCACCUGAGGUCAGGAGUUUGAGACCAGCCUGGCCAACAUGGUGAAACUCCAUCUCUA